rnacentral:rRNA from 1 species
UACGGAGGGUGCUAGCGUUGUUCGGAAUUACUGGGCGUAAAGGGCGCGUAGGCGGCCUGGUAAGUAGGGGGUGAAAUCCUGCGGCUUAACCGCAGGGCUGCCUUCUAAACUGUCAGGCUCGAGCACGGUAGAGGCAGAUGGAAUUCCCGGUGUAGCGGUGGAAUGCGUAGAGAUCGGGAAGAACAUCAGUGGCGAAGGCGGUCUGCUGGGCCGUUGCUGACGCUGAGGCGCGACAGCGUGGGGAGCAAACAGG